GACUCGACCUCACCCAAAACACACAAGAAAGACAACUUUUCUUGCCUCAGAUCUUUUCUUCCUCUGUCUCUAUCAUCGCCAAACAGUUUUCCCUGCCAACCGUCUUCAGCAACUUUCCACUUUCCUUCGCUCUUCUUUGUAUCUCUUACGCCACUCUUCACCGUAUCGGUAUGUGAUUCAUCUUCUCCUCUGUUUUUUCCCUAACAAUUCUCUGAUCUAUGCCAUCUGCUAAAGUCGCCGUCGCGACCGACCGCCCCUCAGGCCUUUGCAUCAAAACCGAAACACAGCUGCCGUCUUGCUCAUAGUCGUCUUCCAGAUAGCUGACGUCGAACCGGCUUCUAUCCAACAAUUAAAACUAGCUGUUUUAAACUCGCAACAAGAGCUGGAAGUGGACAGCAAUAGAACAUAGGAUGAAGACUGCUAUCAUGGAUCAUGUAGAGGAGUAAAUGAAAUGCCAGCCCUUGAAGUUAGCUGACACGUUUGUUAUUUUAGAGAAGAUCAGGGAACUCGAUAGGUAUAGGUGUUGGUUGUGAGUCAAAAUGGAACUAAAGAAAUGAACCAUGAAUUUUGGAAAUGUGAAUUAUUGGUGCUUUGAUUAAAUAGAUAGUUCUUAGAUUUGUUCAAAUACUAAAGUAGUGGAACUGAUGUUUUGAUGUUAAAAUGUUACUUCCACCAGUGUAAGAUAGCCAAUUUUAAGCUUAUUAAACAAUUCCACUGAUUUGAAAGUAAUGCAUCCUUUGAAAACUCAUUCUUC